GAGUACACCAACACGUGUAUCUUGCAGAACGAGUGUGGGGGGCAGAUUGGCACUGUUUCUCGAUGUGUGGGGUAUGAUCACCACGGAUGUUUGGGUUCUCAGUGCGGUCAGGGGUUUCCGCCUGGAUUUAUUGUCUCCCCCUGUCCAGACGUUUCUCCCACAGGAACUGAAAUUACCAGCAGAGCAGGCCGGAUUAAUUACCGCAGAGAUCGCGGAACUGUCUGCCAAACGGGCUAUUCAAGAAAUCCCCUACGGACACCCGGGAUUUCUAAGCAACCUGUUUCUUGUCGCCAAGAAAGGCGGAGGCGUACGUCCAGUGAUAAACCUCAAACACCUCAAUUCUUUCCUACGUUACCAUCACUUCAAGAUGGAGGGCGCUCAUUGUCUCAGGGACCUGCUCCGUCAGGGAGACUGGAUGGUCAAACUAGACCUCAAAGAUGCCUACUUGACUAUACCCAUGGCAGAAGAGCAUUGGGACUUAUUGCAUUUUACGUGGCAAGGUCGUCGAUGGCGUUUUACAUGUCUGCCGUUCGGUCUAUCUUCAGCUCCGUGGUGCUUCACGAAAGUGAUGAAGCCCGUGGUGGCCUUCCUCAGGGCGCGAGGGGUCCGCAUGAUUAUCUACCUGGACGACAUACUGAUUAUGUCUUCAUCCCCCGAGCAACUUCUCAGGCACCUAAGAUGGACGGUGAGUCUCCUGGAGAGACUAGGUUUCCU